rnacentral:rRNA from 1 species
UUGCACGCUGGCGGCAUGCCUUACACCUGCAAGUCGCACGGCAGCACGGGUGCUUGCACCUGGUGGCGAGUGGCGAACGGGUGAGUAAUACAUCGGAACAUGUCCUGUAGUGGGGGAUAGCCCGGCGAAAGCCGGAUUAAUACCGCAUACGAUCUACGGAUGAAAGCGGGGGACCUUCGGGCCUCGCGCUAUAGGGUUGGCCGAUGGCUGAUUAGCUAGUUGGUGGGGUAAAGGCCUACCAAGGCGACGAUCAGUAGCUGGUCUGAGAGGACGACCAGCCACACUGGGACUGAGACACGGCCCAGACUCCUACGGGAGGCAGCAGUGGGGAAUUUUGGACAAUGGGCGAAAGCCUGAUCCAGCAAUGCCGCGUGUGUGAAGAAGGCCUUCGGGUUGUAAAGCACUUUUGUCCGGAAAGAAAUCCUUGGCCCUAAUACGGUCGGGGGAUGACGGUACCGGAAGAAUAAGCACCGGCUAACUACGUG